rnacentral:rRNA from 1 species
AGUAACGCGUGAGUAACCUGCCUUACACAAGGGGAUAGCCUUUGGAAACGAAGAAUAAUACCCUAUAAAACCAUAAAAGCACAUGCUAGGAUGGUCAAAGUGAUAGCGGUGUAAGAUGGACUUGCGUCUGAUUAGCUAGUUGGUGAGAUAAAAGCUCACCAAGGCAACGAUCAGUAGCCGGCUUGAGAGAGUGUACGGCCACAUUGGGACUGAGACACGGCCCAG